CCGGCCCCAAAGCCCCCAGCCCGCCACGCCGGCGGCCGCCGGGGGAAACCAACCGCCGCGUACAGCCAGGGUAGAGCCUGGGCAGCGAGCGCCCGCGGCCCUGCGCCCCGCAGUGAGCUAUUUGGACGUAUAGGGUGAUACAGUCUAUGCCCUGAAGACCUUGAAAAUCUAUGAAGACAGCAGGUAGCAGAAUGGGAUACAGAAUACAAGUGUGUGUGUGCCUACGAGCACAGUAGGAGAUUUUUUGCUCUCCUGACAUCCAGAGAGUACAAUCUACGUUCCUCUUCAGAUUUAUGAGGCUUUGGGAAGAACACUGACAAGAAUAUGUCCUGGCUCACGUGAAACAACUUUGGGCAGGAAAGCUGGGUGCAGCCACAGGUGGACUUUGUCAUUGAAAAACACAAUAUAGAGUGGCUCCGAGGUAAGCACCCUAAUCUCAGAGACCUACGGGCAGAUGUUAUUGCCACCAGGAAUGACACCUUCCAGGAGAGAAGAGGAGAACAGGAAGCCAGUGGAUUGAAUGGGGCACCCAUGAGCUAUGCCAGCACUAGAUUCAGGUCCCAAAGGAAGGAUGGGGUCCUGGACAUGGGGAUAGAGUCACUUCAGAUACUUCAAGAAACAGACCGUCGUGUUGUGAGUGAAGACUGAGCUGCCCUGAACUGGAGGGUGAACGGCUGAUAUAGUGGCCAAGUGGAUCUUAAUUGAUGAAAGGGACAAGCCCUGGAACUUAAGAUGAAGCAGGUAGUCCAGGAUCGAUUGCAGCGAGGCCUGCUCAGGCCUAAUGCCCUGGUCCAAGGCCCAGCACGUGAACCAUUUCCAUUUGGCCAGGUAGGCUGCCCUGAUAGAGAGCUUCCUGCUGCCUGACAGUACCCGAUAGACAUGGGCCAAGCAUUUCUCCUCUUCCACAUUUAACCAUGCGGCAGCCAAGCCAUCAGAUGCAGCGCCGCCACGUUGAGGUGCAAAAGACUGCUGUGGUUCUGGGACAGCAAAUCUGGCCAGAGAAGCAGCUGCCGCGGGGCCACCACCAAGAAAUCCAUCAACGUGCUGGCGAGGCCAAGCCAGGGCUAUUAGGAUUACCUUUUCCCUGUCCUAUUUGAUCUUCAUGAGGACUCUGUGAAUUAUCAGCACCAGCGGGAAGGUGUACAUCAGAGUCCCUGACCAUAGGAAUAAGAAGGCAUCUGACAGGGUGCCUCUGUUGAUGCCCCAAAUCAAGCAAAACACGUGGGAUUUCCUGUUCUGACAAGUCGCGAACAAGUCCAUCUGGGGAGUUCCCCACCUUUGGAAGAUCACACUGACCACAUCAGGAUAGAGUGAUCAUUCAUGAUGAGACGAGAAGGUCCUGCUGAGGUGAUCUGCUAGUAUGUUUCUGGUCACUGGGAGGUGCACUGCCACGAGAUGAAUGGCAUGCUGCACACAGAAGUCCCAAAGUCAGAGAGCUUCCUGGCAAAGGGCUGUCGACCUGGCUCCACUCUGCCUGUUGAUAUAAAACAUUGCGGCUGUGUUGUCCAUCAGGACUUGUACCACCUUGCCCUUCAAGUGGGACCAGAAAGUGUGGCAGGCCAAACGAACUGCUCUGCACUCCUUGAUAUUUAUGUGGAGGGAGCGGUUGUCCCGGAACUUUGCAUGCUGAGCUUGGCCAGGUAGACUCCCGAAGCCCAGACCUGAGACAUCAGAAAUCAGGGUCAACAACGGGGCCGGGGCCGUGAAGGGAACGCCCUCCAACAGCGAUUUGGGAUCUAACUACCAUUCCAGUGACAACUGGAUGUGGUCCGGCAUCCUAACUACCAGGUCUAGAUCAUGCCUGUUGGGUGUGUAGACCGGACGUCAGCUAUGCUUGCGGCAGCUGGAGAUGGAGCCAGGCAUGAUGGACCACAUAAGUACAAGCUGCCAUGUGGUCUAACAACCUCAGGCAGGAGCAAGCAGUGGUGAGUGGGUGGCUCCUUAUAUGGGAGAUCUAGUCCAACAUGUCUUGGAAAUGGGCCUCCAGAAGGAAGGCUCUGGUCCACGUGGAGUUGAGAUCCGCCGCUAUGAACUCUAUCCCUUGCACCAGUUUCUCUUAGUUUACUAAUAGGCCCAGGUCC